rnacentral:rRNA from 1 species
CCUACGGGUGGCAGCAGUGAGGAAUAUUGGUCAAUGGACGCAAGUCUGAACCAGCCAUGCCGCGUGCAGGAAGACGGCUCUAUGAGUUGUAAACUGCUUUUGUACGAGGGUAAACGCAGAUACGCGUAUCUGUCUGCAAGUAUCGUACGAAUAAGGAUCGGCUAACUCCGUGCCAGCAGCCGCGGUAAUACGGAGGAUUCAAGCGUUAUCCGGAUUUAUUGGGUUUAAAGGGUGCGUAGGCGGUCGGAUAAGUUAGAGGUGAAAUCCCGAGGCUCAACUUCGGAAUUGCCUCUGAUACUGUUCGGCUAGAGAGUAGUUGCGGUAGGCGGAAUGUAUGGUGUAGCGGUGAAAUGCUUAGAGAUCAGACAGAACACCGAUUGAGAAGGCAGCUUACCAAGCUACGUCUGACGUUGAGGCACGAAAGCGGGGGGAGCAAACAGGAUUAGAUACCCCAGUAGUC